GCUGCUCCUAGAGGUGCUGCAGGUGUGGCUGCGGUGUCGCAUGUGCAUCAGUAGGUGGCAGCGAGGACAGAGGCCAUGUCUACACUCAGUGCUCUGACCUCUGAACAUCUGAAUAAUUAGUAGCAGCCUAACACU